GACAGAGGGUGCAAACGUUGUUCGGAAUUACUGGGCGUAAAGCGUGUGUAGGCGGCUCCGCAAGUCGGAUGUGAAAGCCCCGGGCUCAACCCGGGAAGUGCACCCGAUACUGCAGGGCUUGAGUGUCGGAGAGGUUGGUGGAAUUCUCGGUGUAGAGGUGAAAUUCGUAGAUAUCGAGAGGAACACCUGUGGCGAAGGCGGCCAUCUGGACAGAUACUGACGCUGAGACGCGAAAGCGUGGGGAGCAAACAGG
rnacentral:rRNA from 1 species